rnacentral:rRNA from 1 species
UACGUAGGGAGUAAGCGUUGUCCGGAAUCAUUGGGCGUAAAGCGCGCGUAGGCGGCCCUGUAAGUCCGCUGUGAAAGUCAAAGGCUCAACCUUUGAAAGCCGGUGGAUACUGCAGGGCUAGAGUCCGGAAGAGGCGAGUGGAAUUCCUGGUGUAGCGGUGGAAUGCGCAGAUAUCAGGAGGAACACCAAUAGCGAAGGCAGCUCGCUGGGACGGUACUGACGCUAAGGCGCGAAAGCGUGGGGAGCGAACAGG